rnacentral:rRNA from 1 species
GAUGAACGCUGGCGGCGUGCCUAAUACAUGCAAGUCGAGCGAACAGGCGAGGAGCUUGCUCCUCUGACGUUAGCGGCGGACGGGUGAGUAACACGUGGAUAACCUACCUAUAAGACUGGGAUAACUUCGGGAAACCGGAGCUAAUACCGGAUAAUAUAUUGAACCGCAUGGUUCAAUAGUGAAAGACGGUUUUGCUGUCACUUAUAGAUGGAUCCGCGCCGCAUUAGCUAGUUGGUAAGGUAACGGCUUACCAAGGCAACGAUGCGUAGCCGACCUGAGAGGGUGAUCGGCCACACUGGAACUGAGACACGGUCCAGACCCCUACGGGAGGCAGCAGUAGGGAAUCUUCCGCAAUGGGCGAAAGCCUGACGGAGCAACGCCGCGUGAGUGAUGAAGGUCUUCGGAUCGUAAAACUCUGUUAUUAGGGAAGAACAAAUGUGUAAGUAACUAUGCACGUCUUGACGGUACCUAAUCAGAAAGCCACGGCUAACUACGUG